rnacentral:rRNA from 1 species
AACGAACGCUGGCGGCAUGCCUAACACAUGCAAGUCGAACGAGACCUUCGGGUCUAGUGGCGCACGGGUGCGUAACGCGUGGGAACCUGCCCUUAGGUUCGGAAUAACUCCCCGAAAGGGGUGCUAAUACCGGAUAAUGUCUUCGGACCAAAGAUUUAUCGCCUUUGGAUGGGCCCGCGUUGGAUUAGCUAGUUGGUAGGGUAAAAGCCUACCAAGGCGACGAUCCAUAGCUGGUCUGAGAGGAGGAUCAGCCACACUGGGAAUGAGACACGGCCCAGACUCCUACGGGAGGCAGCAGUGGGGAAUAUUGGACAAUGGGCGAAAGCCUGAUCCAGCAAUGCGGGGUGAGUGAUGAAGGCCUUAGGGUUGUAAAGCUCUUUUACACGGGAUGAUAAUGACAGUACCGGGAGAAUAAGCUCCGGCUAACUACGUG